CUCAAAGGAAUUGACGGGGGCCCGCACAAGCGGCGGAGCAUGCGGAUUAAUUCGAUGCAACGCGAAGAACCUUACCAAGGCUUGACAUGAACCGGUAAUACCUGGAAACAGGUGCCCCGCUUGCGGUCGGUUUACAGGUGGUGCAUGGUUGUCGUCAGCUCGUGUCGUGAGAUGUUGGGUUAAGUCCCGCAACGAGCGCAACCCUCGUUCUAUGUUGCCAGCGCGUUAUGGCGGGGACUCAUAGGAGACUGCCGGGGUCAACUCGGAGGAAGGUGGGGACGACGUCAAAUCAUCAUGCCCCUUAUGUCUUGGGCUUCACGCAUGCUACAAUGGCCGGUACAAAGGGUUGCGAUACUGUGAGGUGGAGCUAAUCCCAAAAAGCCGGUCUCAGUUCGGAUUGGGGUCUGCAACUCGACCCCAUGAAGUCGGAGUCGCUAGUAAUCGCAGAUCAGCAACGCUGCGGUGAAUACGUUCCCGGGCCUUGUACACACCGCCCGUCAAGUCACGAAAGUUGGUAACACCCGAAGCCGGUGGCCUAACCCUUGUGGGGGGAGCCGUCGAAGGUGGGACCGGCGAUUGGGACUAAGUCGUAACAAGGUAGCCGUACCGGAAGGUGCGGCUGGAUCNCCUCCU
rnacentral:rRNA from 1 species